rnacentral:rRNA from 1 species
UAACAGUCGGAAACGGCUGCUAAUACCGAAUACGAUCUUUUCGUCGCAUGACGGAAAGAAGAAAAGGAUGGCCUCUAUACAAAGCUAUCGCCGAAGGAGGGGUUUUGCGUCUGAUUAGCUGGUUGGAGGGGUAACGGCCCAACAAGGCGAUGAUCAGUAGCCGGUCUGAGAGGAUGAACGGCCACAUUGGGACUGAGACACGGCCCAGACUCCUACGGGAGGCAGCAGUGGGGAAUCUUCCGCAAUGGACGAAAGUCUGACGGAGCAACGCCGCGUGAGUGAAGAAGGUCUUCGGAUUGUAAAGCUCUGUUAUACGGGAUGAAAAAGACGGAUGCCAACAGUAUCCGUCCGUGACGGUACCGUAAGAGAAAGCCACGGCUAACUACGUGCCAGCAGCCGCGGUAAAU